UAGGGAAUCUUCCACAAUGGACGCAAGUCUGAUGGAGCAACGCCGCGUGAGUGAAGAAGGUUUCGGAUCGUAAAGCUCUGUUGUUGGUGAAGAAGGAUAGAGGCAGUAACCGGUCUUUAUUUGACGGUAAUCAACCAGAAAGUCACGGCUAACUACGUGCCAGCAGCCGCGGUAAUACGUAGGUGGCAAGCGUUGUCCGGAUUUAUUGGGCGUAAAGCGAGCGCAGGCGGAAAUGAUAAGUCUGAUGUGAAAGCCCACGGCUCAACCGUGGAACUGCAUCGGAAACUGUCAUUCUUGAGUGCAGAAGAGGAGAGUGGAACUCCAUGUGUAGCGGUGGAAUGCGUAGAUAUAUGGAAGAACACCAGUGGCGAAGGCGGCUCUCUGGUCUGCAACUGACGCUGAGGCUCGAAAGCAUGGGUAGCGAACAGGAUUAGAUACCCUGGUAGUCCAUGCCGUAAACGAUGAGCGCUAGGUGUU
rnacentral:rRNA from 1 species